rnacentral:lncRNA from 1 species
AGAAGAAGCAAUUUUAAAACCAGAAGCAAGCACAUCUUUAUUGUCAUGGGAGGAGUGGAUUCCAUCUAUGAAGAGCUUGAAAUCAGUUUUGAAAAUAGAGACUACCAGCUUCUUCUUGCCUGUUGAUUGUUCUUGAGAUGCCAUCUAAGGUGAUGUGUGGCGGAGGCAGGGCAAGGAAAGAGACACCUGCUGUCAACUGGGCAGAUUUAUACAGCCACUUGAGGAAUGCUGUCUGGAAGCUCUUAUGAUGAGGCAACACGUGCGGAGAUGGUAAACAGCAUGCCCUAUUGCUACUGAUUGCCAUGCUCCUAGCAGACAUGGCUGACCUCACUGCCCGUUCCCAGUGAUCCUGCUCAGAGUGCUUAUCCACAGCGGUCUUGAGCCUGUUGCUACCAAUCAACCAGAAUUGAAGGUAAAAUGACACCUAUUUACCUUUCUGGUAUAGUAUAAAGAGCACCUGUGUGAGUUUGAAUCGCAUAUUUAUCAUUGUGUGACCUGGAACAGGUGAAUAAGUGUAGCUGAGCUUUAGUUUCCCAUAAAAUUGGUCACUGUCUCCUGGAUAGCAUUUUUGUGGAGAGUAAGUGAAAUCUUAUCCCAGCUGUAAGGGCCCUUUAUCAUCUCUCUACAUUUGCUUAUAUCCAGUUAAAAGUUUGUCUUAAAAUGCUUACUGCUGCUACUUUGCUCUUAUUUAUGCUUGGUCCUUGCAUUUGGAUGCACCACUGAGUGGAAGAUAUUGAUUCAGUUUGAUCUGGAAAACAAUGACUCUUCCUUUCUACCCAUUCGAGCCAUUGCCUCUAGGGCAAAGGCACCAGGAACAGCUCUAAUGGUUAAUCUGCUUUCCCAAAACUCAUGGUCCUAAAUCAAUCUCAUCAGUAGUCAUAUUGUUUCC